rnacentral:rRNA from 1 species
CAUCGGAACGUACCCAGUCGUGGGGGAUAGCCCGGCGAAAGCCGGAUUAAUACCGCAUACGACCUGAGGGUGAAAGCGGGGGACCGCAAGGCCUCGCGCGAUUGGAGCGGCCGAUGUCUGAUUAGCUAGUUGGUGGGGUAAAGGCCCACCAAGGCGACGAUCAGUAGCGGGUCUGAGAGGAUGAUCCGCCACACUGGAACUGAGACACGGUCCAGACUCCUACGGGAGGCAGCAGUGGGGAAUUUUGGACAAUGGGGGCAACCCUGAUCCAGCCAUUCCGCGUGAGUGAAGAAGGCCUUCGGGUUGUAAAGCUCUUUCGGCAGGAAAGAAAUCGCCCUCUCUAACAUAGGGGGUGGAUGACGGUACCUGAAGAAGAAGCACCGGCUAACUACGUGCCAGCAGCCGCGGUAAUACGUAGGGUGCGAGCGUUAAUCGGAAUUACUGGGCGUAAAGCGUGCGCAGGCGGCUUUUUAAGCCAGAUGUGAAAUCCCCGGGCUUAACCUGGGAACUGCAUUUGGAACUGGAAGGCUAGAGUGCGGCAGAGGGGGGUAGAAUUCCACGUGUAGCAGUGAAAUGCGUAGAGAUGUGGAGGAAUACCGAUGGCGAAGGCAGCCCCCUGGGUUGACACUGACGCUCAUGCACGAAAGCGUGGGGAGCAAACAGGAUUAGAUACCCUGGUAGUCCACGCCCUAAACGAUGUCAACUGGUUGUUGGGGGAGUGAAAUCCCUUAGUAACGAAGCUAACGCGUGAAGUUGACCGCCUGGGGAGUACGGUCGCAAGAUUAAAACUCAAAGGAAUUGACGGGGACCCGCACAAGCGGUGGAUGAUGUGGAUUAAUUCGAUGCAACGCGAAGAACCUUACCUACUCUUGACAUGUC